rnacentral:rRNA from 1 species
UACGUAGGGUGCAAGCGUUAUCCGGAAUUAUUGGGCGUAAAGAGCUCGUAGGCGGUUUGUCGCGUCUGCUGUGAAAACCCGAGGCUCAACCUUGGGCCUGCAGUGGGUACGGGCAGACUAGAGUGCGGUAGGGGAGAUUGGAAUUCCUGGUGUAGCGGUGGAAUGCGCAGAUAUCAGGAGGAACACCGAUGGCGAAGGCAGAUCUCUGGGCCGUAACUGACGCUGAGGAGCGAAAGCGUGGGGAGCGAACAGG